rnacentral:rRNA from 1 species
AUUGAACGCUGGCGGCAUGCCUUACACAUGCAAGUCGAACGGCAGCACGGGAGCAAUCCUGGUGGCGAGUGGCGAACGGGUGAGUAAUAUAUCGGAACGUGCCCGGUCGUGGGGGAUAACGUAGCGAAAGCUACGCUAAUACCGCAUACGAUCUACGGAUGAAAGCGGGGGAUCGCAAGACCUCGCGCGAUUGGAGCGGCCGAUAUCAGAUUAGGUAGUUGGUGAGGUAAAGGCUCACCAAGCCGACGAUCUGUAGCUGGUCUGAGAGGACAACCAGCCACACUGGGACUGAGACACGGCCCAGACUCCUACGGGAGGCAGCAGUGGGGAAUUUUGGACAAUGGGCGCAAGCCUGAUCCAGCAAUGCCGCGUGCAGGAUGAAGGCCUCGGUUGUAACGUAGCUUUGUUACGGUAAC